CGCGUAGGUGGUUUGUUAAGCGAGAUGUGAAAGCCCCGGGCUUAACCUGGGAACGGCAUUUCGAACUGGCAGGCUAGAGUGUGGUAGGGGGUAGUGGAAUUUCCUGUGUAGCGGUGAAAUGCGUAGAUAUAGGAAGGAACACCAGUGGCGAAGGCGGCUACCUGGACCAACACUGACACUGAGGUGCGAAAGCGUGGGGAGCAAACA
rnacentral:rRNA from 1 species